rnacentral:rRNA from 1 species
AACGAACGCUGGCGGCGUGGAUAAGACAUGCAAGUCGAGCGGGAACUUUCGCUGUAGCAAUACAGUGAAAGUUCUAGCGGCGAACGGGUACGUAACACGUGGACAAUCUGCCUUAAAGUGGGGGAUAGCUCGGCGAAAGCCGAAUUAAUACCGCAUGUGAUGAGAGACGACAUCGUCUUGAAAUCAAAGCCGGGGCAACCUGGCGCUUUUUGAGGAGUCCGCGGCCAUCAGCUUGUUGGUGAGGUAACGGCUCACCAAGGCUAUGACGGGUAGCUGGUCUGAGAGGACGACCAGUCACACUGGAACUGAGACACGGUCCAGACACCUACGGGUGGCAGCAGUCGAG